rnacentral:misc_RNA from 1 species
UGCAUCUCCGUUGCCUCCCUUCAGCCCCUCGCGAGCCAUUCGCUGUAUUAGCGUAGUCGCACCGGCAAAGCCAGGGCUGUGGGAAUCGGCGUGUUCCUCUCCCUUUCCCUUCUCUCAGCCUGCCUUGCCUUUCUCAUACACCUUCCAUCACUCUCGCUUCAUCAGAUGAUAUGGAAGAACGCAGCAGCUGCAUCUGCACAGCUGCGACAGCCCCUCCCCACAGCCAACCAAUCAUCCUUCCCACGCGCGCUACUGCGCCUUCACCCACAAUAUCUGUCUAGAUCCCCUUUUUCUUCGUUUCCAUUUCGUCCCCUGCUUUGCCACUGGCACGCCUGUCCCUCCUUCCUGCAUAGCGACGACUGCUCGGCGCGUUCGCAUGUUGUGUGUGUGUGCGCGCGCGUCUGCCCUUUGGCCGUCAUCAUUUUCUACUCUCUUCCCCAGUACUUGUUUUUUUUUCUGUGCAGAUUCAUGCAGAUUGUGCCAGAGACUGAAGCGCAUGGAGUGUUGCUGAGGUUCGUGAUCGACGACACGCACGGCUUUUUCUAACCUUCCCUGCUCCACGGACUCGCGCAAGCGCCGUUGUUUUGCUUACUUUCUCAUCCCUCAGCUCUUCCUUUCUUCACACCGCGCUGAAGGAGCACCUCUCUCUCUCGCACUCCACUCCGCCUUCUCAAUUUUCUUUUCCUGCCAUUCGCACAUUGGAAUCUUUUCAUCGCUGUCUGAGCGGCGCUUUUGCAUACAAGCUGGUGGGUGCCAUCACGGAUUUGUGCGUGUUUGUGUCCAUCUGUUUCCUCUAUUAGUGUGCUGUGACUCAGAUCCUCUUGGUCAUCCCUUCAACCCUCUGUGUUUCGGGUCUUCCUGUCGCCCGUUCCCCAGUCAUAACGCAAGGCCGUAUAUUCCUUUUUUAUUUUGGGCUUCAGCUCUCUCUCUCUCUGUUUCGCGUUUGCUCUUUCGGUAUUGUCCUCCCCUCUCUUUGCGGCUUUCUGGCGCAACCUCCUUCCUGCUCCACCACCCUGUCCGCUGUUCUGUUUACCUAUGCUCUUUAUAAGACGUCUGUGCACACGCACUCGGUGCGUCGCGUUUCUGCUGCUUUCGUAAUCCUUUUUUUUUUCUCUGUGUGCAUGUUACGUUUGUGGGAAGCUGCGAUGCUGCCACCGGUGAGGUUGCCCGAAUGUCUGCACAUGAGCUCCGCCGAGGUACGUGAGGCGGAAGUCGUCGUCGUGUGUGAAGGGCUGAGCAAGGAUACUUGGAAUCCCCCAGUGAUCUGGCCGCUAGGUCAGGUGCCGGCCUUGCCGACGCCAACGUGGGUGCUCAUCUUCCUCAUCGCUCGGCGUGCACGUGCAUCAGGCGCACGUUCCCUCCAGCCCCCUUCACACAGCUGCAACUUACCGCUCUUUCCCUGUGCUGCACGGUGAUGGAGAGUUGCACGUGUCGAACUGCAAGCACACCUGGAUGAGUUGCCGUCAUGAGACGGUGUCGGCGAUCCGUGCCACCAGCGGGGUGAGCGUGCACUUCCUUCUCCUCCACUCGUGUGGCCGCACGACAACGUCCAGCACGGACUUCUUCAGCUUCUGAGUACUACUCUUUGCUGUAGCGGCGGCGCGCCAAGUGCCGCCGCAGUGGCAGCCGGACGAUGCUGAACCGGGACCAAGUGGAGGAGUGGGUUUGCAGGCAGGUGCUUCUUGUCCUAUGGUACGGCUAAUUCCAUGAUGUGUGUCUGUACUGAAUGGUGCGUAUGUCCGCCUUCGCCUUUUCCACUGGUUUCAUCAACUAACGACAAUUCACUGCGGAGCUUCCCGCGCGGCAUGGUGGUGGUAUGAUGCUGUCGCGCUCUCUGUGGCUGUGGCGGUGAUGCCUCAUUUUCUCUUUCCUUUACUUCUUUACUUCGCCCUCCCUGAUGACAG